GGGCCCGCACAAGCGGUGGAGUAUGUGGUUUAAUUCGAUGCAACGCGAAGAACCUUACCAGGGUUUGACAUCCUGCGAAUCUCUUGGAAACGAGAGAGUGCCUUCGGGAAUUGUGAUACAGGUGCUGCAUGGCUGUCGUCAGCUCGUGUCGUGAGAUGUUGGGUUAAGUCCCGCAACGAGCGCAACCCACGUCUUUAGUUGCCAGCAUUUAGUUGGGCACUCUAGAGAGACCGCCGGUGAUAAACCGGAGGAAGGUGUGGAUGACGUCAAGUCAUCAUGCCCCUUACAUCCUGGGCUACACACGUACUACAAUGCUACGGACAAAGAGCAGCAAGUUCGCGAGGACAAGCAAAUCUCAUAAACCGUGGCUCAGUUCAGAUCGUAGGCUGCAACUCGCCUACGUGAAGGCGGAAUCGCUAGUAAUCG
rnacentral:rRNA from 1 species